rnacentral:tRNA from 4 species
CGGAAUGUGGCGCAGCCUGGUAGCGCACUUGUCUGGGGGACAAGGGGUCGUGGGUUCGAAUCCCGCCAUUCCGACCA